UGGGUUGUAGCUCAGUGGCAGAGCACUUGCCUAGCAUGUGUAAGGCACUGGGUUCGAUUCUCAGCACCACAU
rnacentral:tRNA from 1 species